rnacentral:lncRNA from 1 species
GUAUUUACUGCAUCUACAUCCAUUUCAAUUGUCUCUGGAUGCAAAUCUUGUGAAUUUUUGGCCUCUGCUACAUCAGAAGCUGGAUCCAGGCUCAUAGAUUGCCCAUCACCCUGCUGACUCUCCACCAGCACAGGAGCUUCAGCAGGUUGAGCUUCAUAGUCCACCAGCACAGGAGCUUCAGCAGGUUGAGCUUCAUAGUCCACCAGCACAGGAGCUUUAGCAGGUUGAGCUUCAUAGUUGACUCUACCAUCCAAACUGUUGCUGCCCCCACCUAUUUCAGCUACUCUGGAAUCAAACUCUUCGUAGAGAUCCAUACCCUUGGUUGCUUCGAAGAAAGUGCCUGCUUUGUCUUUCGAUAAAGCAUGAUCUAU